UACGGAAGGUCCGAGCGUUAUCCGGAUUUACUGGGUGUAAAGGGCGCGUAGGCGGGGAUGCAAGACAGAUGUGAAAUCUAUGGGCUUAACUCAUAAACUGCAUUUGAAACUGUAUCUCUUGAGUGCUGGAGAGGUAGAUGGAAUUCCUUGUGUAGCGGUGAAAUGCGUAGAUAUAAGGAAGAACACCAGUGGCGAAGGCGAUCUACUGGACAGUAACUGACGCUGAGGCGCGAAAGCGUGGGGAGCAAAC
rnacentral:rRNA from 1 species